rnacentral:rRNA from 1 species
UACGAAGGGGGCUAGCGUUGCUCGGAAUCACUGGGCGUAAAGCGCACGUAGGCGGCUUCUUAAGUCAGGGGUGAAAUCCUGGAGCUCAACUCCAGAACUGCCUUUGAUACUGAGAGCUUGAGUCCGGGAGAGGUGAGUGGAACUGCGAGUGUAGAGGUGAAAUUCGUAGAUAUUCGCAAGAGCACCAGUGGCGAAGGCGGCUCACUGGCCCGGUACUGACGCUGAGGUGCGAAAGCGUGGGGAGCAAACAGG